rnacentral:lncRNA from 10 species
AUUAAAUUAAUCCAAUCUGCAAACACUUACUCUCUAAGCACUACUGGGGGAGAGAGGCGGCUGGAUGGACAGAUGGAUGUGUUCUCAUUGGAUUGCGGGCCACCUCCGAGUAGUUACAGCUGGAUCAAUACGGCUCCUAGAGCUAUAAUAGAAUGGCUUCGACAUGCUCAUCUGUGGCUGAGAACACAGUAUACACAUUGAUUUCCUGGCCUGAUAUAACCCAUUUACCUAUUCAGCUACUCCGUUCAGGAAGGUGGAGGGGUCCCCAGGCCCAAGGGAGCAAUGAUGCCUGUAAGUAGGUUAGCAAAUGCUUGGGAAAUGUCUUAAUUGGUGACAUGGUUCCUCCUUUUGGAAGGCACAUUUCUUUGUAAAGAAAAGGCCUCCUUAGAAUCAUAUUGGCUUUGUCUCGGGGAGCAGGAGAAGUUGGGGUGUCACCGUUUCCGCUCAUGAGGAUUUGCCCUUUCCAUCAUUGAAAUCUUUGGUGUUGAACAAUUGUCUUAGUUCAUGGAGCAUAAAGGGCUUCACUUUGAAGUGCAUUCCAGGAAUAUUCCUGAUUUCCACUGGAUGACUUUGACUGGUAUGAUUUCAUUCUCUGAAAGUGUUAACCAGGGUGCAGCAUGGCCAGAAACCAUUCCGAGCCUCAUGAAGUGGGCAAGUCAGGUUUGGUCAUUUUUGGUAAGAAACCGCUUCCCAGAGAAGUGAAGCAAUGAAUUUGCGAGUUGUAGUGCUUUCCUUUCACCUGUCGAAUAAUCUGGACAGUGUUCUAGGAUUUUCUCAUGAAAAUCUGGCUGAUGUUGAAGCCCUGAGGUUUGGGGAAUGAAUUUCAAUCAUUGAGCCAAAGUGGAUUUCCAUUUAGGAUUUUGUGGGAGGUCUCCCGAGUCUCAGGAGUGAUCACGAUGAUGCCAUUUAGGACAGCGGUCCCCAACUAUUUUUGCACCGGGAUCGGUUUUUGUGAAAGACAAUUUUUCGACGGACCAGCGGGGAUGGUUUCAGGAUGAUUCAAGUGCAUUAUAUUUACUCUGCACUUCAUUUAUUUCUAUUAUUAUAUUGUAAUAUGUAAUUAAGCAAUUAUACAACUCACCAUAAUGUAGAAUCAAUGGGAGUCCUGAGCUUGUUUUCCUGUUUCAUCUUGGGGUGAUGGGAGACAGUGACAGAUCAUCAGGCCUUAGAUUCUCAUAAGAAGCCACAACCUAGAUCCCUCACAUGUGCAGUUUACAAUAGAAUUUUGGCUUCUGUGAGAAUCCAAUUCCACUGCUGAUCUGACAGGAGGCAGAGCUCAGGCAGUCAUGCAAGUGAUG